CCUGGCGGCCAUGGCGGUGUGGAACCACCCGAUCCCAUCCCGAACUCGGACGUGAAACGCACCUGCGCCGAUGAUAGUGUGGGGCCUCCCCAUGUGAAAGUAGGGCACCGCCAGGCACCUUACACAACAAGCCCCUGACCCAUUACAACGGUCAGGGGCUU
rnacentral:rRNA from 1 species